UACAGGGGGUGCAAACGUUGCUCGGAAUCAUUGGGCGUAAAGCGCACGUAGGCGGUCUGUUAUGUCGGAUGUGAAAGCCCUUGGCUCAACUGAGGAAGUGCAUCCGAAACUGGCAGGCUAGAGUACUAAAGAGGAUCGCGGAAUUCCCGGUGUAGAGGUGAAAUUCGUAGAUAUCGGGAGGAACACCGGUGGCGAAGGCGGCGAUCUGGGUAGAUACUGACGCUGAGGUGACGAAAGCGGUGGGGAGCAAACAGG
rnacentral:rRNA from 1 species